rnacentral:rRNA from 1 species
CCUACGGGAGGCAGCAGUAGGGAAUCUUCCACAAUGGGCGAAAGCCUGAUGGAGCAACGCCGCGUGAGUGAUGAAGGCCUUCGGGUUGUAAAACUCUGUCAUUCGGGACGAACCGGAGUCUGAGGAAAUGCAGACUCUCUGACGGUACCGGAGGAGGAAGCCCCGGCUAACUACGUGCCAGCAGCCGCGGUAAUACGUAGGGGGCAAGCGUUGUCCGGAUUCACUGGGCGUAAAGCGCGCGCAGGCGGUGAUGUAAGUCUGAGGUGAAAACCCGAAGCUCAACUUCGGGACUGCCUUGGAUACUGCGUCACUUGAGGAUAGGAGAGGCAAGGGGAAUUCCACGUGUAGCGGUGAAAUGCGUAGAGAUGUGGAGGAACACCUGUGGCGAAGGCGCCUUGCUGGCCUAUUUCUGACGCUGAGGCGCGAAAGCGUGGGGAGCAAACAGGAUUAGAUACCCUGGUAGUCCACGCUGUAAACGAUGAGUGCUAGGUGUAGGUGGGCUCAUACCCAUCUGUGCCGAAGCUAACGCAUUAAGCACUCCGCCCUGGGGAGUACGGUCGCGAAGACUGAAACUUAAAGGAAAUUAGA